rnacentral:lncRNA from 1 species
CUCUCGAUUAGCAUCCACCUCCUCUCUCGAGUCCGACAAAAAGUAAAUUCUAGGUCUCGUGGGAUUCCAAUGAUAUCCUAGGAUUUUUUCUAUAAAAACAAUGCCACCUAUUCUCUUUAGGCAUUGCCCCUCAUGCAUCCUCAAUCAAACUGCCAUUGAAAUCUAUGAGAUUUUCUUGAUUUUUCAUUAAGCAUUAUUCGCAAACCACCACC